GUAACAACGAACUGCGAGAAGUCAGCCGAGGUCAUAGUACCUGCUUAAUAUCGGCACGGCAGGGAAGGAC
rnacentral:ncRNA from 1 species